rnacentral:rRNA from 1 species
UACAGAGGGGGCGAGCGUUAUUCGGAAUUAUUGGGCGUAAAGGGCGCGUAGGCGGCUUUUCAAGUGACGGGUGAAAUCCCUCGGCUUAACCGAGGAACUGCCUGUCAGACUGGAAGGCUUGAGACCGGGAGAGGUGAGUGGAAUUCCUGGUGUAACGGUGAAAUGUGUUGAUAUCAGGAGGAACACCCAUGGCGAAGGCAGCAAACUGGGCAUCAACUGACGCUGAGGCGCGAAAGCGUGGGUAGCAAACAGG